AGAAUGAAGUCAGAGGAAACUCUGAUGGAAGUUCGUAGGGGUUCUGACGUGCAAAUCGAUCUUUAAACUUGAGUAUAGGGGCGAAAGACUAAUCGAACCAUCAAGUAGCUGGUUCCCUCCGAAGUUUCCCUCAGGAUAGCUGGAACUUGAAGAAAUAGUUUUAUCAGGUAAAGCGAAUGAUUAGAAGCUCUGGGGAUGAAACAUCCUCGACUUAUUCUCAAACUUUAAAUAGGUAAGAUGAUUGCAGUACUUAAUUGACUGUCAGUCUCUUGAAUAGUAAGUUCUUAGUGGGCCAUUUUUGGUAACGCAGAACUGGCGAUGUGGGAUGAACCAAACGUAAAGUUAAAGUGCCUAAAAGUACGUUCAUCAGAUACCACAAAAGGUGUUGAUUCAUCUUGACAGUU
rnacentral:rRNA from 1 species